rnacentral:rRNA from 1 species
UACGUAGGGGGCGAGCGUUGUCCGAAGUUACUGGGCGUAAAGAGCGCGUAGGCGGGUCUUUAAGUGAGGGGUGAAAGGUUCAGGGCUCAACCCGAACACUGCCUUUCAUACUGGGGACCUUGAGUGCGGGAGAGGCGAGUGGAAUUCCUGGUGUAGCGGUGAAAUGCGUAGAUAUCAGGAGGAACACCGGUGGUGUAGACGGCUCUCUGGACCGUAACUGACGCUGAGGCACGAAAGCGUGGGUAGCAAACAGG